rnacentral:rRNA from 1 species
CAGUAGCCGCGGUAAUACGGAGGGGGCUAGCGUUGUUCGGAAUUACUGGGCGUAAAGCGCACGUAGGCGGCUUUGUAAGUUAGGGGUGAAAGCCCGGAGCUCAACUCCUGAAUUGCCUUUAAGACUGCAGAGCUAGCAGGUGAGAGAGGUGAGUGGAAUUCCGAGUGUAGAGGUGAAAUUCGUAGAUAUUCGGAAGAACACCAGUGGCGAAGGCGGCUCACUGGCUCAUUCUAGACGCUGAGGUGCGAAAGCGUGGGGAGCAAACAGGAUUAGAUACCCCGGUAGUCCCUGUCUCUUAUAC